AAUAAAAAUUUUUAUGAUUUUGAAAAUUUUUUAAAAAUUUAUUUUACAUAUGAAUUUUAGUAUUAAAUUUUAAUUAUUUAAAAAAUAAUUAAUUUUUUUGUAGUAAUUAGCAUUAAAAAUUUAAGAAAUUAAGAUUUAGUAAUAUAAAAAUUAAUAACAAAUUUUGUGCCAGCAGUUGCGGUUAAACAAAAAUUAAAUUAAAUUUUAUUAGGUAAAUUAAUAAAUAAUUAAAUUUAAUUUAAAUAUUAAAUUAUAAGGUGAAAUUUUAAUUUAAUUAAAAAUUAUUGGAAGAUUAUGAAUUAAUAAAUUUUAUUAUAAACUAGGAUUAGAUACCCUAUUAUUAAAAAUUUAAAUUAAAAUACUAAAAUAGUAUGUAAUUAUUUAUUGAAACUUAAAUAAUUUGGCGGUGUUUUAGUUCAUUUAGAGGAAUCUGUUUAUUAAUUGAUAAUCCACGAAUAAUUUUACUUAAUAAAAAAUUUUGUAUAUCGUUGUUAAAAAAAUAUUUUUGGAUAAAUUUAAUAUUUAAAAAUUUAUAAAAAAAAAUUAAAUCAGAUCAAGAUGCAGAUUAUAAUUAAGAAUAUAAUGGAUUACAAUAAAUUUAUUUAAAUGAAUAUUAAAUUGAAAUAUUAAAUUGAAAGUGGAUUUAAAUGUAAUUUUAUUUAAUUUAUUAAAAUGAUUAGAAAUUAAAAUAUGUACAUAUUGCCCGUCGCUUUCAUUUAUAAGUUGAAAUAAGUCGUAACAAAGUAGAAGUACUGGAAAGUGUUUCUAGAAAAA
rnacentral:ncRNA from 1 species